rnacentral:siRNA from 1 species
GGAGCUGUAGACGUAUGGUA